UACGAAGGGGCUAGCGUUGUUCGGAAUUACUGGGCGUAAAGCGCGUGUAGGCGGGUCUUUAAGUCAGGGGUGAAAUGCCAGGGCUCAACCUUGGAACUGCCUUUAAUACUGGAGACCUUGAGUCCGGGAGAGGUGAGUGGAAUUGCGAGUGUAGAGGUGAAAUUCGUAGAUAUUCGCAAGAACACCAGUGGCGAAGGCGGCUCACUGGCCCGGAACUGACGCUGAGACGGCGAAAGCGUGG
rnacentral:rRNA from 1 species